rnacentral:rRNA from 1 species
GAUGAACGCUGGCGGCGUGCCUAAUACAUGCAAGUCGAGCGAACAGACGAGGAGCUUGCUCCUCUGACGUUAGCGGCGGACGGGUGAGUAACACGUGGAUAACCUACCUAUAAGACUGGGAUAACUUCGGGAAACCGGAGCUAAUACCGGAUAAUAUAUUGAACCGCAUGGUUCAAUAGUGAAAGACGGUUUUGCUGUCACUUAUAGAUGGAUCCGCGCCGCAUUAGCUAGUUGGUAAGGUAACGGCUUACCAAGGCAACGAUGCGUAGCCGACCUGAGAGGGUGAUCGGCCACACUGGAACUGAGACACGGUCCAGACUCCUACGGGAGGCAGCAGUAGGGAAUCUUCCGCAAAGGGCGAAAGCUUGACGGAGCAACGCCGCGUGAGUGAUGAAGGUCUUCGGAUCGUAAAACUCUGUUAUCAGGGAAGAACAAAUGUGUAAGUAACUAUGCACGUCUUGACGGUACCUAAUCAGAAAGCCACGGCUAACUACGUG